rnacentral:rRNA from 1 species
AUUGAACGCUGGCGGCAGGCCUAACACAUGCAAGUCGAACGGUAGCACAGAGAGCUUGCUCUCGGGUGACGAGUGGCGGACGGGUGAGUAAUGUCUGGGAAACUGCCCGAUGGCGGGGGAUAACUACUGGAAACGGUAGCUAAUACUGCAUAACGUCGCAUGACCGAAGUGGGGGACAUUCGGGCCCCACACCAUCGGAUGUGCCCAGAUGGGAUUAGCUAGUAGGUGGGGUAAUGGCUCACCUAGGCGACGAUCCCUUGCUGGUCGGAGAGGAUGACCAGCCAACCUGGAACUGAGACACGGUCCAGACUCCUACGGGAGGCAGCAGUGGUGAAUAUUGCACAAUGGGCGCAAGCCUGAUGCAGCCAUGCCGCGUGUAUGAAGAAGGCCUUCGGGUUGUAAAGUACUUUCAGCGGGGAGGAAGGCGGUGGAGUUAAUAACUUCACCGAUUGACGUUACCCGCAGAAGAAGCACCGGCUAACUCCGUGCCAGCAGCCGCCGCGG